GAUGGGGAUGCGUUCCAUUAGUUAGUUGGCGGGGUAACGGCCCACCAAGACAACGAUGGAUAGGGGUUCUGAGAGGAAGGUCCCCCACAUUGGAACUGAGACACGGUCCAAACUCCUACGGGAGGCAGCAGUGAGGAAUAUUGGUCAAUGGACGAGAGUCUGAACCAGCCAAGUAGCGUGAAGGAUGACUGCCCUAUGGGUUGUAAACUUCUUUUAUAUGGGAAUAAAACAGGGUAUGCAUACCCUCUUGUAUGUACCAUAUGAAUAAGGAUCGGCUAACUCCGUGCCAGCAGCCGCGGUAAUACGGAGGAUCCGAGCGUUAUCCGGAUUUAUUGGGUUUAAAGGGAGCGUAGGUGGAUUGUUAAGUCAGUUGUGAAAGUUUGCGGCUCAACCGUAAAAUUGCAGUUGAAACUGGCAGUCUUGAGUACAGUAGAGGUGGGCGGAAUUCGUGGUGUAGCGGUGAAAUGCUUAGAUAUCACGAAGAACUCCGAUUGCGAAGGCAGCUCACUGGACUGCAACUGACACUGAUGCUCGAAAGUGUGGGUAUCAAACAGGAUUAGAUACCCUGGUAGUCCACACAGUAAACGAUGAAUACUCGCUGUUUGCGAUAUACAGUAA
rnacentral:rRNA from 1 species